UUUAUUAAAAGUGGAGGUACUGCCUCUGAUUUAAAGCGGCACCAACCGACAAACAGAAGACAGACCUCCAUUAACCACUGUUUAAAAAGAACGAUGGCAUCAGUGGCUUGGCUAGCAUUUAUGCUCAGCGGGUGAUUAAGAAUCAACCACAUUGCUGUGGGUCUGGAGUCACAUGUAGGCCAGACCAGACAAUUCAUCACCACGCUAGGUGAAAUCAUCAGUGGGGCCUCCGAUGAAGUGAUGUAACUCUACUCCGCUUGGAAUUUAUACUGUCUGGU